rnacentral:rRNA from 1 species
AUUGAACGCUGGCGGCAGGCUUAACACAUGCAAGUCGAACGAGUGGCGGACGGGUGAGUAAUGCUUGGGAAUCUGGCUUAUGGAGGGGGAUAACUACUGGAAACGGUAGCUAAUACCGCGUACCAUAAGAUGUGCCCAGGUGGGAUUAGGUAGUUGGUGGGGUAACGGCUCACCAAGCCGACGAUCCCUAGCUGGUCUGAGAGGAUGACCAGCCACACUGGGACUGAGACACGGCCGAGACUCCUACGGGAGGCAGCAGUGGGGAAUAUUGCACAAUGGGGGCAACCCUGAUGCAGCCAUGCCGCGUGAAUGAAGAAGGCCUUCGGGUUGUAAAGUUCUUUCGGUAGCGAGGCGUUACCUGCAGAAGAAGCACCGGCUAACUCCGUGCCAGCAGCCGCGGUAAUAC